GAUGAACGCUAGCUACAGGCUUAACACAUGCAAGUCGAGGGGAAACGACAUUGAAGCUUGCUUCGAUGGUCGUCGACCGGCGCACGGGUGAGUAACGCGUAUCCAACCUGCCUCUGACCAAGGGAUAACCCGUCGAAAGUCGGCCUAAUACCUUAUGCAGUCGUCGGAAGUCAUCUGAUGACGACGAAAGAUUUCAUCGGUGAGAGAUGGGGAUGCGUCUGAUUAGCUUGUUGGCGGGGUAACGGCCCACCAAGGCAACGAUCAGUAGGGGUUCUGAGAGGAAGGUCCCCCACAUUGGAACUGAGACACGGUCCAAACUCCUACGGGAGGCAGCAGUGAGGAAUAUCAGUCAAUGGGCGAGGGCCUGAACCAGCCAAGUAGCGUACAGGAUGACGGCCCUAUGGGUUGUAAACUGCUUUUAUGCGGGGAUAAAGUGAGGGACGUGUCCUUCAUUGCAGGUACCGAAUGAAUAAGGACCGGCUAAUUCCGUG
rnacentral:rRNA from 1 species